CCUACGGGUGGCAGCAGUGGGGAAUAUUGCGCAAUGGGCGAAAGCCUGACGCAGCGACGCCGCGUGAGGGAUGAAGGUCUUCGGAUCGUAAACCUCUGUCAGCAGGGAAGAACGGUCACUGUGCUAAUCAGCAGUGAAUUGACGGUACCUGCAAAGGAAGCACCGGCUAACUCCGUGCCAGCAGCCGCGGUAAUACGGAGGGGGUGAGCGUUAAUCGGAAUGACUGGGCGUAAAGGGCUCGUAGGCGGUAUGUCAAGUCAAGGGUGAAAUCCCCGCGCUCAACGUGGGAACUGCCUUUGAAACUGUGUAACUGGAGUGUGUGAGAGGAUAGUGGAAUUCCAGGUGUAGCAGUGAAAUCCGUAGAUAUUUGGAGGAACAUCAGUGGCGAAGGCGACUAUCUGGCACAUAACUGACGCUGAGGAGCGAAAGCGUGGGUAGCAAACAGGAUUAGAUACCCUUGUAGUC
rnacentral:rRNA from 1 species